rnacentral:rRNA from 1 species
UGGAUGCGGGGGCUUCACCGCCUACCAAAUCCUGACAAACUCCGAAUGCCAGUAGUAUGAUUUACAGCAGUGAGCGACCGGGUGCUAAUGUCCGGUUACGAGAGUGGAACAACACAGACCAGCAACUAAGGUCCCCAAGAGUAUACUAAGUUGAUCUAACGAUGUUUUGCUGCAGAGACAGCUAGGAUGUUAGCUUGGAAGCAGCUAUUCAUUCAAAGAGUGCGUAACAGCUCACUAGUCGAGCGGCAAAGCGUGGAUAAUAAACGGGCAUCAAGUAUACCACCGAAGUUCUGGGCACGAAAGUGCGGUAGGGGAGCAUUCCAUUCCGCGUUGAAGCCGAACCGUGAGGUUUGGUGGAGUGUAUGGAAAAGCAAAUGUAGGCAUGAGUAACGAUAAUGCGGGAGAGUAACCCGCACACCGCAAGACCAAGGUUUCCUGAUCAACGCUAAUCGGAUCAGGGUUAGUCGGGUCCUAAGGGUAAGCCGAACGGUGAUCUCGAUGGAUAAUCGGUUAAUAUUCCGAUACUGACAUAUACCUCGAUGGAGAGACGAAGGAACGUAAGUGCCGCCACCUGACGGAAUAGGUGGUUAAAGGGCUUAGGUAUAGGGGCAGAUUAAGAGUUAGUCCUUGCUGAAACCUGACAGUACAGAGAGCCUACGGGCAAUUUGAUAGUGCACCCAAGUCGACUUCCGAGAAAAUCUUCUAAGUUAUAGUAUAUGUCACCCGUACCGUAAACCGACACAGGUGGUCGAGGAGAGUAUCCUAAGGUGCUCGAGUGAAUCACGGUUAAGGAACUAGGCAAAUUAACCCCGUAACUUCGGGAAAAGGGGUCCCAUCGCGAGGUGGGCGCAGCGAAGAGGUUCAGGCGACUGUUUAUCAAAAACACAGGGCUCUGCAAAUUCGAAAGAAGACGUAUAGGGCCUGACACCUGCCCGGUGCUGGAAGGUUAAGAGGGGAUGUCAUCGCAAGAGAAGCAUUGAAUCGAAGCCCCAGUAAACGGCGGCCGUAACUAUAACGGUCCUAAGGUAGCGAAAUUCCUUGUCGGGUAAGUUCCGACCUGCACGAAUGGUGUAACGAUCUGGACACUGUCUCAACCGUGAGCUCGGUGAAAUUGUAGUCCCGGUGAAGAUGCCGGGUACCCGCAACGGGACGAAAAGACCCCGUGAACCUUUACUGCAGCUUAGCGCUGAAUUUGGGUACACAAUGUGUAGGAUAGGCAGGAGACACUGAAGCGGGUACGCCAGUAUUCGUGGAGUCGACGUUGAAAUACUGCCCUUUGUGUAUCUGAGUUCUAACCCCGCGAGGGAGACACCGCUUGGUGGGUAGUUUGACUGGGGUGGUCGCCUCCAAAAGCGUAACGGAGGCUUCC